AUUCUGGCUCAGGAUGAACGACUAGCGACAGGCUAACACAUGCAAGUCGAGGGGCAGCACGGGAGUAGCAAUACUUGGUGGCGACCGGCGCACGGGUGAGUAACGCGUAUGCAACCUACCUAUCAGAGGGGAAUAACCCGGCGAAAGUCGGACUAAUAACCGCAUAAAACAGGGGCACCGCAUGGUGAUAUUUGUUAAAGAAAUUCGCUGAUAGAUGGGCAUGCGUUCCAUUAGGUAGUUGGUGAGGUAACGGCUCACCAAGCCGACGAUGGAUAGGGGAACUGAGAGGUUGGUCCCCCACACUGGUACUGAGACACGGACCAGACUCCUACGGGAGGCAGCAGUGAGGAAUAUUGGUCAAUGGGCGGGAGCCUGAACCAGCCAAGUCGCCGUGAAGGAAGAAGGAUCUAUGGUUCGUAAACUUCUUUUGCAGGGGAAUAAAGUGCAGGACGUGUCCUGUUUUGUAUGUACCCUGAGAAUAAGGAUCGGCUAACUCCGUGCCAGCCGCGGC
rnacentral:rRNA from 1 species